AUUGAACGCUGGCGGCAUGCCUUACACAUGCAAGUCGAACGGUAACGGGCCUUCGGGUGCCGACGAGUGGCGAACGGGUGAGUAAUACAUCGGAACGUGCCCGAUCGUGGGGGAUAACGAGGCGAAAGCUUUGCUAAUACCGCAUACGAUCUACGGAUGAAAGCAGGGGACCGCAAGGCCUUGCGCGGCCGGAGCGGCCGAUGGCAGAUUAGGUAGUUGGUGGGAUAAAAGCUUACCAAGCCGACGAUCUGUAGCUGGUCUGAGAGGAUGAUCAGCCACACUGGGACAGAGACACGGGCCCAACUCCUCAAGGGGGGAAGAGGGGGGGAAAUUGGGCAAAGGGGGCAAAGCCUGUCCCAGCCAAGCGCGGGGGAGGAGGAGGGCCUUGGGGUGUUAAACCGUUUUUUUAGGGAAGAAAAACCCUUUUUUUAAACCCGGAGGGUCUGGCGGGAACCGAAAGAAAAAGCACCGGUAAAUUAGGG
rnacentral:rRNA from 1 species